AGUUGCCGCUGCUGCAGCUGCUGCUGCCGGGGCAGUGGCCGCUGGGGGGUUGUCGCUUGGCGCCGCGCGCAGUCCCUAGCGCAACAUGCAGGAUCUUCCCGGCCUGACUGCUGCACCUCGAUCGUGAGUCGCCCCUGCCUGAGCGGCUUCCACCGCCUGGAAAAAACUAAGAAACUCAAGAGGAGUCAUCAGAAUUCCUGCCAUGUGGGAGUCAUCAACCCAAUGGGUGACUUCUUUUCUGCUCCACAUAUAAGAGGAUUACUUAGACCGAGCCAGGACAAUGAGAUUCAAUCCUGAAAUUUUUUUCAAACUUGGAAAGAGGAUCUCUUUUCCAUGGGAUUGAAAAUAGAGCUCCUGAGAACCUGCCUGAUGGAGAGUGCAACAUAGAGAAAAGCAGAACGAAGACACAGAGAGAAGGAGUUCCAUUUUGACUUCUAGAUCCAACCUUGCCUGCAGCUGAGCUUGUUCACUGAGUAAGAUUAUCACUAUACUUUUCAGUUUUAUGAGCCAAUAAAUCCCUCACUUUUCUUCAGCUAA
rnacentral:lncRNA from 1 species